GGAUCGUUUUCUGGUUUCUUUGCUUAUGUGUCUGUCUCCAAAUGCCUUGAAUCUUCCUCCCCUUCUUCGAUAAAAUCAGGUGUCACAUUCUUCUUGUUAAUAGAAUGAUUUUUCUUCGUUUUGUGCUCUGUCGAUCGAAAAAUGGACGAUUCAUGGAGCUAGGACCUCAGCUAAGCAUGCUGGAUGAAAUAGCAAUAACACCUGGGUGACUUAAAUGGAAAUGUACAUGGUGCUGCCUUCAGGAUAAGGGUUGGUGAAGAUUAUGUUUCACUCUGGUGGAAGGAUGAACUAAGGACCAUGCAUCGAUGACGGUCACCUGAAACAAUGGAAUCAUUGACUUGACCCUGGAUAUUUUUAAAAUGGCUUCAACCAUCUACAAGGCCAGUCGAAAGAAACAAGGUGGCGUAAGGUUUAGCAAUUGGAGGAUUGUGUAAAUUCUUAAGGCAACGUACUGGGAAACGGUACUAUGGUGGGUGUCUUAGAUAAUAGAGAAGAGAAGAAACUGACAGACGAUAAACUUUGCAGCUUGAUGCUGACAAAUAUGAAUUGGUGACGAACACGACAAUGACAGCCAAGAGUAUAUAUUUGUCGGCCACUUGUCGCAAGCGCUUUCACAUGGAUUUGGUUAUGACGAGAUUGCAUCAAACUGCCCUUGGGGUGGAAAAGUGCCGACUAUAGUAAGCAAGUUGGGUUCUUGGCCCCUUGAAAUGAGUCAUCACAAUCAAUUUCUCUAUCAUGAAACAUUUAGUGUAUGGAAUUAUCUCAAGGACGACUGAUGUUAAGAUUUUAGUUUUUCAAGUAUGCUUGGAACACUUGCACGAGCUCGGGUACUCCAUGUUUCCCCACCACUUUUGUUAAUUAUUGACUUGUAAAAUUACUUGAAACCUAAGUUACACGAACUUGAGUUUUUUUUUAUUAGUCUAGAGUGAUUACAAGG